rnacentral:rRNA from 1 species
GACGUAGGAUGCAAGCGUUGUCCGGAUUUAUUGGGCGUAAAGAGUUCGUAGGCGGUUUGUUAAGUCUGAUGUAAAAGACUGGGGCUCAACCUCGGGACUGCAUUGGAUACUGGCAGACUGGAGUACGGUAGAGGCAAGUGGAAUUCCCAGUGUAGCGGUGAAAUGCGUAGAUAUUGGGAAGAACACCGGUGGCGCAAGCGACUUGCUGGGCCGUAACUGACGCUGAGGAACGAAAGCUAGGGUAGCGAAUGGG